rnacentral:rRNA from 1 species
UACAGGGGGUGCAAACGUUGCUCGGAAUCAUUGGGCGUAAAGCGCACGUAGGCGGCUUUGUAAGUUAGAGGUGAAAGCCCGGGGCUCAACUCCGGAAUUGCCUUUAAGACUGCAUCGCUAGAAUUGUGGAGAGGUAAGUGGAAUUCCGAGUGUAGAGGUGAAAUUCGUAGAUAUUCGGAAGAACACCAGUGGCGAAGGCGACUUACUGGACACAUAUUGACGCUGAGGUGCGAAAGCGUGUGGAGCAAACAGG